rnacentral:rRNA from 1 species
CACCGGCAGCUCAAGUGGUAGCCAUUUUUAUUGGGCCUAAAGCGUUCGUAGCCGGUUUGAUAAGUCUCUGGUGAAAUCCUAUGGCUUAACUGUGGGAAUUGCUGGAGAUACUAUUAGACUUGAGGUCGGGAGAGGGUAGUGGAAUUUCGAGUGUAGGGGUGAAAUCCGUAGAUAUUCGAAGGAACACCGGUGGCGAAGGCGGCUAACUGGAACGAACCUGACGGUGAGGGACGAAAGCCAGGGGC